CGGGACGGGUGAGUAAUGUCUGGGAAACUGCCUGAUGGCGGGGGGUAACUACUGGAAACGGUAGCUAAUACCGCAUAACGUCGCAAGACCAAAGAGGGGGACCUUCGGGCCUCUUGCCAUCGGAUGUGCCCAGAUGGGAUUAGCUAGUAGGUGGGGUAACGGCUCACCUAGGCGACGAUCCCUAGCUGGUCUGAGAGGAUGACCAGCCACACUGGAACUGAGACACGGUCCAG
rnacentral:rRNA from 1 species